rnacentral:rRNA from 1 species
GACGAACGCUGGCGGCGUGCUUAACACAUGCAAGUCGAACGGAAAGGCCCUGCUUUUGUGGGGUGCUCGAGUGGCGAACGGGUGAGUAACACGUGAGUAACCUGCCCUUGACUUUGGGAUAACUUCAGGAAACUGGGGCUAAUACCGGAUAGGAGCUCCUGCUGCAUGGUGGGGGUUGGAAGGUUUCGGCGGUUGGGGAUGGACUCGCGGCUUAUCAGCUUGUUGGUGGGGUAGUGGCUUACCAAGGCUUUGACGGGUAGCCGGCCUGGGAGGGUGACCGGCCACAUUGGGACUGAGAUACGGCCCAGACUCCUACGGGAGGCAGCAGUGGGGAAUAUUGCACAAUGGGCGGAAGCCUGAUGCAGCAACGCCGCGUGCGGGAUGACGGCCUUCGGGUUGUAAACCGCUUUCGCCUGUGACGAAGCGUGAGUGACGGUAAUGGGUAAAGAAGCACCGGCUAACUACGUG